GUGGCUUGAUAAGCCGGUUGUGAAAGCCCCGGGCUCAACCUGGGAACGGCAUCCGGAACUGUCAAGCUAGAGUGCAGGAGAGGAAGGUAGAAUUCCCGGUGUAGCGGUGAAAUGCGUAGAGAUCGGGAGGAAUACCAGUGGCGAAGGCGGCCUUCUGGACUGACACUGAACACUGAGGUGCGAAAGCGUGGGUAGCAAACAGGAUUUAGAUACCCCUGGGUAGUCCCACGCCGUAAACGAAUGUCAACCAGCCCGUUGGGGUGCCCUAGCGCACUUUUGUGGGCGAA
rnacentral:rRNA from 1 species